AUGAACGCUGGCGGCGUGCCUAAUACAUGCAAGUCGCGCGAACAGACGAGGAGCUUGCUCCUUCGACGUUAGCGGCGGACGGGUGAGUAACACGUAGGUAACCUACCUAUAAGACUGGGAUAACUUCGGGAAACCGGAGCUAAUACCGGAUAAUAUUUCGAACCGCAUGGUUCGAUAGUGAAAGAUGGCUUUGCUAUCACUUAUAGAUGGACCUGCGCCGUAUUAGCUAGUUGGUAAGGUAACGGCUUACCAAGGCAACGAUACGUAGCCGACCUGAGAGGGUGAUCGGCCACACUGGAACUGAGCCACGGUCCAGACUCCUACGGGAGGCACCAGUAGGGAAUCUUCCGCAAUGGGCGAAAGCCUGACGGAGCAACGCCGCGUGAGUGAUGAAGGUCUUCGGAUCGUAAAACUCUGUUAUUAGGGAAGAACAAAAGUGUAAGUAACUGUGCACGUCUUGACGGUACCUAAUCAGAAAGCCACGGCUAACUACGUG
rnacentral:rRNA from 1 species